CUGUAGUUCGAAUUCGUGUUUGAAAAAGAUCUGACUAAUAAUCACAUCUUUAUCCACCCUAAUCCAACCUUUUUAAUAAAAAAAUUUAAGACAGUAAUAUCUUCUUCUUCUUCUAUCUGACCGGUCAAUUAUUAUUAUGUCCCCUGAAUGCUUUAAGUGUCUUUUUCCGAAUGCGACCUUCUUUAUUACGAUCAAAGCAGCAGCACCAACCCCAGUUCUAUCACUCUUUAUAUGCAUCCCUCCCUUGGUCAAAUCCCAAACUUAAUCUGCCUCCAUAGCCACAGCGUUCUCUCCCAACAAAGACUCAACAAAACAAAAGAAAUGCUAUCAGUCUCGAGCAGUUGUGGCCUUCCAAUCUGUCUAAAUGGGAUUCCUCGUCCUCUUCCUUUCUCCCAAGAGUUGGAGGAUCAUGAAAGGAGGAGGGAGAGCGUGAAAAGGAAGAAAUUUCAAGAGUUUUUGCAGUUACAUGAGAUGAUUACUAGAGAGGCUUCGGGCCAUGGAAGCAACAACCGUGGAGGAGGUGUUGUUAAAACUGAGUUUUAUCCCUGCAUUUCCCUACCCAGUACUGCAAAAGCUGCAUAAGUUAGUUACUAUGUUCUAGGCUUCAGUUUUUCUUCUAUUGUUGCUUUUCAAUAUGAAUCUUAUGAGAUGGGAAAUUCUACAUUUGAAUUUGGUUGCUCUA